rnacentral:tRNA from 1 species
ACCUGAUUGGCUCAGUCAGUGGAGCAUGUGACUCUUGAUCUUGGGGUCAUGAGUUCAAGCCCCAUGUUGGGUA